GGUAAAGCAAUUCACUGCCUGUGGAGCCUUGAUUCAUCGUGCACUCGCACAAAUUCGGCUGGAAGCACUGCAAGUACUCCAUUUCUUCGCAAGUGCAACAAUUUUCAAUCGGUUUUGUCGGCAACAUUCAAAUCAGAAAACCCUUCAACGUCUAGCUCAUCAUCUUUGCCAUCCUCUUCAUAGUCCUCUUCUCCCUCUGGCUCAUUCUCAUCCAAAGGACCCAAAACAUCCACACCUGCCACACUCUUCCUAAGCAUUUCCUGCACAGCUUCAACACCUUGCUCAGAGAUCUGGUUGCCGUUCAAAUUUAAAUGCUUGAAGUGUUUUUUGUUUCCCACUGCUUGAGCGGCUGCCAAAGCUCCAAUGCGACUAAGUUCAUUCACGCUCAGGUCUAGCUCACGCAGAUUCUCGAGGCCUUCUCCAAUAGCGGUAGAAACCGUUACCACUCCACUGUCCUUCAACUCAUUCUCCAUCAGAUUUAACCUUGUUAGGUG
rnacentral:lncRNA from 1 species